rnacentral:rRNA from 1 species
UGAGGAAUAUUGGUCAAUGGUCGGGAGACUGAACCAGCCAAGCCGCGUGAGGGAUGAAGGUGCUAAGCAUUGUAAACCUCUUUUGUCAGGGAACAAAGGCAUCCACGAGUGGAUGUGUGAGUGUACCUGAGAAAAGCAAUCGGCUAACUCCGUGCCAGCAGCCGCGGUAAUACGGAGGAUGCGAGCGUUAUCCGGAUUUAUUGGGUUUAAAGGGUGCGUAGGCGGCCUGUUAAGUCAGCGGUAAAAGCCCGGGGCUCAACCCCGGCGAGCCGUUGAAACUGGCUGGCUGGAGUUGGCGAGAGGUAUGCGGAAUGCGCGGUGUAGCGGUGAAAUGCUUAGAUAUCGCGCAGAACUCCGAUUGCGAAGGCAGCAUGCCGGCGCCACACUGACGCUGAGGCACGAAAGCGUGGGGAUCAAACAGGAUUAGAUACC